AACGAACGCUGGCGGCAGGCCUAACACAUGCAAGUCGAACGAGAAGCCACCUUCGGGUGGUGGACAGUGGCAGACGGGUGAGUAACGCGUGGGAACGUGGCUUACGGUUCGGGAUAACCCAGGGAAACUUGGGCUAAUACCGGAUACGACCUCCGGGGGAAAGAUUCAUCGCCGACAGAUCGGCCCGCGGCGGAUUAGCUAGUUGGUAGGGUAAUGGCCUACCAAGGCGACGAUCCGUAGCUGGACUGAGAGGAUGACCAGCCACACUGGGACUGAGACACGGCCCAGACUCCUACGGGAGGGAGCAGUGGGGAAUAUUGGACAAUGGGCGAAAGCCUGAACCAGCCAUGCCGCGUGGGUGAAGAAGGCCUUAGGGUUGUAAACCCCUUUCAGCGGGGAAGAUAAUGACGGUACCCGCAGAAGAAGUCCCGGCUAACUCCGUGCCAGCCGCCGCCGUAAUAC
rnacentral:rRNA from 1 species